GACUGGUCCAAUGAUAGUGGUUUAUCAGAACUUAUUAACAUUAGUGUCACUAAGGUUAGUAUACAACCCCCCACUGCUAAAUUUGACUGGCUUAA
rnacentral:Y_RNA from 1 species